rnacentral:rRNA from 1 species
UGGGGGAUAUUGCACAAUGGGCGAAAGCCUGAUGCAGCGACGCCGCGUGGGGGAUGAAGGCUUUCGGGUUGUAAACCUCUUUCGCUAUCGAACAAGGCCCGCUUAGGGUGGGUUGAGGGUAGGUGGAGAAGAAGCGCCGGCUAACUACGUGCCAGCAGCCGCGGUAAUACGUAGGGCGCGAGCGUUGUCCGGAAUUAUUGGGCGUAAAGGGCUUGUAGGCGGCUUGUUGCGCCUGCUGUGAAAACGCGGGGCUUAACUUCGCGCGUGCAGUGGGUACGGGCAGGCUUGAGUGUGGUAGGGGUGACUGGAAUUCCAGGUGUAGCGGUGGAAUGCGCAGAUAUCUGGAGGAACACCGAUGGCGAAGGCAGGUCACUGGGCCAUUACUGACGCUGAGGCUCGAAAGCGUGGGGAGCAAACAGG